GUCCUUGGCUUACCUUUCCCUGAAUAAACAAGUGCCCGUGAUAGGAUGGUAAUUGCCCAAAGCAAUCCUUGCCAAACCAGUGCAGAUUACGGGAGCGCCUGUUGCUGACUGUUCAGUGCUGGGAUCUCUGCUCCAAGAGUAUCUGGAAAAAGGUGAGACACCAGAUUAAAGUCUGAGAGAUGAAGCAGUUCCUGCCUCGUGACUUUCCCAGAGGUCGCUGCCUUUGUGGAGCCAUGUCCCUGCACAUUUCAGCAUCACCAGAUUGCUCCAAUCAGUUACAGGUAUUCUUCAAAACUUUGGGCUAUAGAAGCCUGGUUCUGGAGCAGCUUCCUCUGUGGUCCAGCUCUCCUGCUGAUUGGAGCCAUAAGCUCUGGGAGGAAGGCUUCUGCUGUCAGACCAUCUGCAGCUGUUGUCGGUCGACCAUUGAUGUGACCUCUGAGAGGCAGAGACCCAUUCUGUUCCCUAGCUGGUCGUUCAAGUCUUUUUAUUCUAGCAUUUAAAUUGGAUUUUAUUUAAUUUUAUUUAAAUCCAUUAUAUCAACACUUAAUGAACAGAAGCCCUCCCGCUCUGCUCUGUAGCAUCCCAUUGUAUACCAGCAUUUUAUUAUUUUUAGUGUCCUAUACAUAUUCAUUUCUCUUAAUCUUUCAUGCUAAUGUAUGUUUCCCUUUCACAUUCUUUUUCUCUUCUUGAUUAUUAUUAAAUGCCUGGAUGAUACUUAAAUGUCAGAAAAGCCCUGAGAAAUGCCACAUACUGGAGGAGAGCAGAAUAGUUUAUGUUUAAAAAGCCCUGAGUGUGGUAAUAUCUGCGUUUUGGGCUGUGGGGCUGUUCUGACCACCCCUCAGCAAAAAUAGAUCUCUUGAGAGAAAUAGAUUUAUGUUGCUGAUGGUGUUUUGAUUUUGAACUUUGAGACUGAAAUUGGAGGUGGAGAAACGAAUCCUAUCUUCUCUCUGGUUCAUCUCUGCCCUGACAUGAUAAUGGGUCACUUGGAACAAUCAGCUGGUUUCAUUAAUUAUUACUGCUAACACAUGGCAAAAGCAAUUUGAGAUUCACUGGAUGUGUGUGGGUCUGUUGAAGAAAAUGUAAAGGGGGCAAUUAUCAAUCUGAAAAUAAAUGAGAGUGGCAAGUGCCA
rnacentral:lncRNA from 1 species